UCCGGGGGUAGAGCACUGUUUCGGCUAGGGGGCCAUCCCGGCUUACCAACCCGAUGCAAACUGCGAAUACCGGAGAAUGUUAUCACGGGAGACACACGGCGGGUGCUAACGUCCGUCGUGAAGAGGGAAACAACCCAGACCGCCAGCUAAGGUCCCAAAGUCAUGGUUAAGUGGGAAACGAUGUGGGAAGGCCCAGACAGCCAGGAUGUUGGCUUAGAAGCAGCCAUCAUUUAAAGAAAGCGUAAUAGCUCACUGGUCGAGUCGGCCUGCGCGGAAGAUGUAACGGGGCUAAACCAU
rnacentral:rRNA from 1 species